rnacentral:tRNA from 1 species
GCCUGGGUGGCUCAGUUGGUUGAGCUUCUGACUUUGGCUCAGGUCAUGAUCUCACGGUCUGUGAGUUCGAGCCCCGCAUCGGGCU